rnacentral:lncRNA from 1 species
AAAUGAGAAGCUCGACGACUACUUACGUAUAUUCUUCUCCGAAGCGAGAGAGAGAAAAGGAGAGAGCGAGUUCACAGGAAGUGUGAUCGUCAACUUCAUGAUUCAUAACAAUGGUCUGGAAAUAAUAACAAGCUCUACGACUACUUAUGUAUAUUCUCCUCUGAAGCAAGAGAGAGAUAAGAAGAGAGCGAGUUGACAGGAAGUGUGAUUGUCAAUGGGUUUUGUUGAUGGUGAGGCUCCUUUGCCUCGACAGAGAAUGUCGAACCUUGUAUAGUGCUUGUAUUUCAGUUUUUUGUAUUCUGACGUUUUAAUUUGAUUUGUGUUUUCAUCGGCGAGGGUUGUUACUCGAUUUUAUCGUGGUUUGUUUGGCGAUCAUCGAAAUGGGAAUCGGCCAGCGAUAACCGGCGUCAGAGUUAUGUGUUUAACUCCUUAACGUGGUUCCAUGACUAUAUGAGAUUGAAACUGUCAUGGGCUGGUCUGAUUUCGGCGAAACGUUACUGUGAAACACAAUCGUCUUGGGUGCAUCUUUUCUGUUUGCAUGGUAGUAUCUUGCGAACCCAGUGUUCUUGGAGCGUUGCUCGUGCGUGCUUUUAUCUUUGUUCUUAUUUUUGUUUGCUUUUAUUGUGUGCUUUGCUGGUGCGAGUGCUGCAAGCCAUGGGUGAAGGCUUUGCUUGCUGUUGUUGUUCAUUGUUUUGGCCGAUGCGAU